AAUCGUGUUGCCCGUGGAUUUAUAUACGUAAUAUACACCAGUGCUUUGUGAUAUUCUUGGUGUUUGACCCCCAUUGAAUGGGAGAUUCAAUACGUCACGAAACAACAAAACUUUACUUUACCUUAUACAUUUCAUAAAAACUAUAGAACUAUAAGUAAACAUGAUAAACUUAUUACUCUCCCAUAAAGUUAACCAGAUGCAUCCAGCAACACUUAUAAUAUACGAAUAGAUGAGGUGUAAUGAAUAACAUUAAUAAUAAUAAUAAUAUUAAUAACAGAAGCAAUAUUAUGAUCAUGGAAGACUUUUGCUGACGACUUUUUUUUAAUUUUUACACUUCAUAAUAUGGACGUAUAAUGGAUCUACCGGUCAACUUGCUAGUUCAACAAUACAUGUAAUUAAAUUCACAAUACAGUUACCUACAUGGCUACAUCUAAAAUUAUCAGAUAAAUGCUUGCAGUCAACAAAGGAUUUUUAUACAAGAUUUUUCAAAUUAUGUGACUCACGAUUGGUUGGCUGGAAAUGUUUACUAUUUACAAAAAUUAGUAUCGUAGACUGACUUGCGACAAAUAUAUAGUCGCUGUAUACGUUUUGGAAUAAGUUAAUAAUCAAUUUAACGAAAACUGACUUUUGGACUCUAGGUGGGUAUAAAAUGAUAUGCUAUAUGAAAUGUAAAUAUGGUUAGCCCUCUACUAGCCCUUAGUGGUUAUUUCAAAAAUAUAUGUUCAUUUUAAAAUUAUAAGUUAUUUUAUAAAAAAAAAUGUAUAAACUUACUACUUAUUCUUAUUACCUAUCAAUA